rnacentral:rRNA from 2 species
GCUACGGAACAACAGUUGGAAACGACUGCUAAUACCGUAUGUGCCCUUCGGGGGAAAGAUUUAUCGGCAAAGGAUGAGCCCGCGUUGGAUUAGCUAGUUGGUGAGGUAAAGGCUCACCAAGGCGACGAUCCAUAGCUGGUCUGAGAGGAUGAUCAGCCACACUGGGACUGAGACACGGCCCAGACUCCUACGGGAGGCAGCAGUGGGGAAUAUUGGACAAUGGGCGCAAGCCUGAUCCAGCCAUGCCGCGUGAGUGAUGAAGGCCCUAGGGUUGUAAAGCUCUUUCACCGGUGAAGAUAAUGACGGUAACCGGAGAAGAAGCCCCGGCUAACUUCGUGCCAGCAGCCGCGGUAAUACUAAGGGGGCUAGCGUUGUUCGGAUUUACUGGGCGUAAAGCGCACGUAGGCGGAUUUUUAAGUCAGGGGUGAAAUCCCGGGGCUCAACCCCGGAACUGCCUUUGAUACUGGAAGUCUUGAGUAUGGUAGAGGUGAGUGGAAUUCCGAGUGUAGAGGUGAAAUUCGUAGAUGUUCGGAGGAACACCAGUGGCGAAGGCGGCUCACUGGACCAUUACUGACGCUGA